UGUAGCCCUAAAGGAAGCUGGUGUGCUUA
rnacentral:piRNA from 1 species